AACCGUAUAACCGACUUUUACU
rnacentral:miRNA from 1 species